CCGCAUGAUGAAAACCAAACUAACAACAACUUGAAUUUCUUCAACCGAACAUGUUAUGAGGAACCAAACUUUGACAGCUUUUUAACCCUGACG
rnacentral:snoRNA from 1 species